rnacentral:tRNA from 1 species
GUUCUUAGGGGUUGAGAGUGUAGACUGUUAGCUUGUGGUGCUGGAGGUUCAUGUAAUUUGAUAAGGACA